GAUCUAUAUCGUCCCGCGCCCAGCAAGAAGCACUGUGCGGCUGUACUCCCCCGACCCCCAGGACAUCUCCACGCCCAGCUUCCCAGGCCGGUCUUCUGCACGGCUCAAGUAGCCCAGGUCUCCACGCAACAAUGAAGCGUGGGCGGCCCCAGCGGCUUCAUUUGCAUAUCGCCGCGGCUUGGCCAAUGGGCUGCGCAGGGGCUUUGGAACGCAGUGUUGCCAUCGGCGUGCGCGCGUGUGUGCGAGUGUGACAGCGGCUGUGGCUGUGGCCGUGGCCGUGGGAGGCGGGCCCGGCGGAGCCCAGCCGCGGGGGGACCGGCCCGGGCUCCCGCUCCCCGAGCGCGUCGCGGCCGCGUGGCCCGGCCGAGCCUUGAGACCACCCCGCCCCUGCCGGUCUCAGUCGCGAUGUCGGUGGCCGGGCUGAAGAAGCAGUUCCACAAAGCCAGCCAGCUCUUUAGUGAAAAAAUAAGUGGUGCUGAAGGAACUAAACUAGACGAUGAAUUUCUUGACAUGGAAAGGAAAAUAGAUGUUACCAAUAAAGUUGUUGCAGAAAUUCUUUCAAAAACCACUGAAUAUCUUCAGCCAAAUCCAGCAUACAGAGCUAAGCUAGGAAUGCUAAACACUGUGUCGAAGAUCCGAGGGCAGGUGAAGACCACAGGAUACCCGCAGACGGAAGGCUUGCUGGGGGACUGUAUGCUGAAAUACGGGAAGGAGCUCGGGGAAGACUCCACCUUUGGCAAUGCAUUGAUAGAAGUUGGUGAAUCCAUGAAGCUAAUGGCUGAGGUGAAAGACUCUCUUGAUAUUAAUGUAAAGCAAACUUUUAUUGAUCCACUUCAGUUACUACAAGAUAAAGAUUUAAAAGAGAUUGGGCAUCACCUGAAAAAGCUGGAAGGGCGCCGCCUGGAUUACGAUUAUAAAAAGAAACGAGUAGGUAAGAUACCAGACGAAGAAGUCAGACAAGCGGUAGAAAAAUUUGAAGAGUCAAAGGAGUUGGCUGAAAGAAGCAUGUUUAACUUUUUAGAAAAUGAUGUAGAACAAGUCAGCCAGUUGGCUGUGUUCAUAGAGGCAGCAUUAGACUAUCACAAACAGUCCACAGAGAUUCUGCAGGAGCUGCAGAGCAAGCUACACAUGCGAAUAUCAGCUGCAUCCAGUGUCCCCAGACGAGAAUACAAGCCAAGGCCUGUGAAAAGGAGUUCUAGUGAGCUCAAUGGAGUGUCCACCACCUCUGUAGCGAAGACGACAGCCUACAGCAGACUGGAACCAGCAGAUUAGGAAGGCCCAAGGGACUGCUUCGGGAAGGCCAUUGACGGCAGGAAAAAGUGACAGGUCGCAGCCAGACUACAAGGGAGGCAAGAGAAAAACUAUAAAAAGCAGGAACAAAAACACUCAAAAGACACAGCAGUCUGGGGGAUUUACUAAAAGACAAAGAGCCCUACUCAGGUUCUAACAUUCCCAUGGACCAGCCCUGCUGUCGUGGUCUCUAUGACUUUGAGCCAGAAAACCAAGGAGAAUUAGGAUUUAAAGAAGGGGACAUCAUUACAUUAACCAAUCAAAUAGAUGAAAACUGGUAUGAAGGAAUGAUACACGGGGAAUCCGGAUUCUUCCCCAUUAAUUAUGUUGAAGUGAUCGUGCCUUUACCUCAGUAAAUGUGUAACACAAACCCUGGACAUACUUUCAUAACUGAAAUGAAUUCACACCAGUGUGCUCUCAGUGUGGUGUUCUGUGACAUCCUUUGCUCUCUGACCAACUUAAUGACUUUUGUAUGUGUGUUCUCUUUAUAAUGUAUUUUAUAUCACUUUAAUUUGUAUAAAUGAUUUUCUUGUCCUUGCUACAUGAAAAUAUUGUUUUCUUUUUUGCUUCUUGUCCUAAAAGUCAUUGGUUAAAUGUAUUUGCUUCCUGUUGUUAAAAAUAAGUCUCACCCAUUGCAGUUAUGUCAAUGAAUGGCCUAUAUUCCUCAGCUGCAAUGAAAUGGUAACAUUUGAAACUAAGAAAUGCUAAAUAUUUUGUUUCUCGACAUUCCUGAUGACGUCUGGUCUUUCUUCAUUGUAUUUUAAGCUUACCUGUGAAUAGCCCAAUAAACAUGACACGCUGUGUUGGCAAAA